AAAAAAAGAAUUUAUCUUGAGGUCUGUUGAGGAGGUCAGUGGAGUUUGGGAGCUUAUGCUGGAAAACAACACUCAAGGAGCAACUGAGAAAAAUCUGGCUAGUGUGCCGAUUUGUUGGUGGAUGAUUAAGUGAGAAAGAAACAGGUAAUUUUUAGAAAUUAAUUUUUCAAUACUUUGAAUGAAGCGGGUAGCAUGCUACCUUUUCCUCAAAAAAAAAAAAAAAUCGAUA
rnacentral:lncRNA from 1 species